GAACAGCAGCAACAACCAUAUGUGAUUAAUGAGCCUUUUUGGACUAAAACAGCCCCAGAGGCAGAAUGGGAGAAGGGCACAAUGCUUUAUAAGGGGAGAGGUUUUGGUUAUAUCUCCACAGAACAUGGAAUUCAACAAUGGGUCCAUGGACGAUGGAUCAAGAUCCGUGCCUUGAGGCCCUCUUUGCCAAUCCCGGAGGCAACUCCCCGAGGAACCAUAUCCUCCAAGGCGAGCUCGAAACCAGCUAGAGGAUGAAGAUAAUGAACCUGUCCCUAUUGCCACCAUGGCCAGAUCACAGCUAAGAAAUUCCCGCUGCCAUUCACGGCGACCAAAUUUAAAUCCAAUCCCUACAUGGGGACAAUUUAAAAAGUUAACUCUGGAGGGACAAUGGCUUGUCCUUCAAGCAGGGAAGCCGUUAAACCCUGAAAAUUUGUUUUUAGCUUUAUGUGCCUUACUCACCAUUGCAUCGGGGACUGAGUCUUCCAGAUCUGAAGAACAUAACUAAUGGAGCUCCCGUCUUCCCUCAAAAGACACAUCUCCUGUGGUGGGGAGAUGGUGGAAUCGCCAAUCCUGCUGUUGCUGCCAAAGAGUACCCUCAUAAUCUCCAAAAUCACAUUUGGAAGAUUCCAGCCGCUAUGCAACCUGUGACCUUGUACAAUGUUUCCUAUUCAGGAACUAGUCAAUCUGUAUUUACUACUUAUAAUUUUAC
rnacentral:lncRNA from 1 species